rnacentral:tRNA from 1 species
GCGCCCGUAGCUCAGCUGGAUAGAAGUACUUGGCUACGAACCAAGGGUCAGGAGUUCGAAUCUCUUCCGGAGCGCGCCA